CCUACGGGUGGCAGCAGUGGGGAAUAUUGGACAAUGGGCGAAAGCCUGAUCCAGCCAUGCCGCGUGUGUGAAGAAGGCCUUCGGGUUGUAAAGCACUUUCAGUGGGGAAGAAAGCCUUGGGGCUAAUACCCUCGAGGAAGGACAUCACUCACAGAAGAAGCACCGGCUAACUCCGUGCCAGCAGCCGCGGUAAUACGGAGGGUGCGAGCGUUAAUCGGAAUUACUGGGCGUAAAGCGCGCGUAGGCGGUCUGAUAAGCCGGUUGUGAAAGCCCCGGGCUCAACCUGGGAACGGCAUCCGGAACUGUCAGGCUAGAGUGCAGGAGAGGAAGGUAGAAUUCCCGGUGUAGCGGGGAAAUGCGUAGAGAUCGGGAGGAAUACCAGUGGCGAAGGCGGCCUUCUGGACUGACACUGACGCUGAGGUGCGAAAGCGUGGGUAGCAAACAGGAUUAGAUACCCGAGUAGUC
rnacentral:rRNA from 1 species